UGGGGAAUAUUGCACAAUGGGCGCAAGCCUGAUGCAGCCAUGCCGCGUGUAUGAAGAAGGCCUUCGGGUUGUAAAGUACUUUCAGCGGGGAGGAAGGUGUUGAGGUUAAUAACCUCAGCAAUUGACGUUACCCGCAGAAGAAGCACCGGCUAACUCCGUGCCAGCAGCCGCGGUAAUACGGAGGGGGCAAGAGUUAAUCGGAAUUACUGGGCGUAAAGCGCACGCAGGCGGUCUGUCAAGUCGGAUGUGAAAUCCCCGGGCUCAACCUGGGAACUGCAUUCGAAACUGGCAGGCUAGAGUCUUGUAGAGGGGGGUAGAAUUCCAGGUGUAGCGGUGAAAUGCGUAGAGAUCUGGAGGAAUACCGGUGGCGAAGGCGGCCCCCUGGACAAAGACUGACGCUCAGGUGCGAAAGCGUGGGGAGCAAACA
rnacentral:rRNA from 1 species